GACGAAGGUGGCGAGCGUUGUUCGGAAUCACUGGGCGUAAAGCGCACGUAGGCGGAUGUGUCAGUCAGGGGUGAAAUCCCGGGGCUCAACCUCGGAACUGCCUUUGAUACAGCACGUCUCGAGUCCGGAAGAGGUGGGUGGAAUUCCUAGUGUAGAGGUGAAAUUCGUAGAUAUUAGGAAGAACACCGGUGGCGAAGGCGGCCCACUGGUCCGGUACUGACGCUGAGGUGCGAAAGCGUGGGGAGCAAACAGG
rnacentral:rRNA from 1 species